CGGACCCCAAGAACCAGAAUCAUCACCCGAUUUCCAACACGUAUAUAAAUACUCGAGAACAUCCAGCGAGGCGCCCAAACUACCUCCUGCGACAAAACAUAAUUGAUCAGCAUAUAAUUAUGGUGAUACAUAGAGUCGAGAUGUGUAUAUCGUUGGCGAAGCUCGCAGUGGAGUUCGUUCUCUCCGUGGCGGAAGCUGUCCACGUCGUUCAACGAGACACCAUCGCCGGCGGCGGCGGCGGCGAUGACGUUGUCCUUCUCUUGCCGCAGCUCCGCCGUCCUAGCUACGCUUACUUCAGCGGCGGCGCCCCUUCUUCUUCUGCCGUUUCGGUUCCUUUGGUUGGGUUCCUUCCUUAAAGAGAGAACAAAAAAGUAUUAGUUCAUUUCUUCCUCCUCCCGGAGAAAAACAACGCCGCCGCCGCCGCCGACAAACCGACAAAAGCCCCAGCUGGUUUUAAUUUUCUCCGGUUCGUUGACUUUUCUUUUUUGGGCGGUAUACGGUACUAUAUAUGUACUGUUCACGAUGUAUGUAUAGACGUAUUCUUUAGAGUGAAAAAAAUUAAUGUUAAAAAGAGUCGGCUGCUAUUCUCCUUUCAUCUGCGGUCGGUACUCCAUCUCCUUGCCGCCGGCCGACAACACUUCACCUCUUCAUCGACGGCAGGCUAUAUUGCUUCUUCUUCUUCCGUCUAUGUUCGAAGAACUUCCGAUUUCGCUUCGUUUUAUAAAUUUUCAACGAUUGAGAUUGAAUGGGUGAUUUGAAAAAGAGAAUCGUUUUACGAUAAGACAAAAAUCAUUUGUCUCACCAUUUACGAACGCAACGAGGACAGCCCAAGUAGGAUCUCGGUUGGUCAAGGUCGGAGUUGCCGCCGUGGUUGUUGUUCUCGCUACUGCUAACUGACUCUUUAAUGUCGAAGUUGGCCGCCGUGCAGUUGUCUUCAACCGGCUUAAUUACUGGUGCCAAUGUUCGAUCCUUGAUGCACACCCUUGACAUUACUUGCAGGCUUCUACUCAUAACAAUAAGAGAAGCAGACAAUUAAACCCAUGGUACGAGGAGCUUCUAUGGUAGUCAGCGACCCAUAUCCGAGC
rnacentral:lncRNA from 1 species